UACGUAGGGGGCGAGCGUUGUCCGGAUUUAUUGGGCGUAAAGAGCGUGUAGGCGGCCAGGUAGGUCUGCUGUGAAAACUCGAGGCUCAACCUCGAGACGUCGGCGGAAACCAUCUGGCUAGAGUCCGGAAGAGGAGAGUGGAAUCCCUGGUGUAGCGGUGAAAUGCGCAGAUAUCAGGAAGAACACCCGUGGCGAAGGCGGCUCUCUGGGACGGUACUGACGCUGAGACGCGAAAGCGUGGGGAGCGAACAGG
rnacentral:rRNA from 1 species